rnacentral:rRNA from 1 species
AUUGAACGCUGGCGGCAGGCCUAACACAUGCAAGUCGAGCGGAUGAAGGGAGCUUGCUCCUGGAUUCAGCGGCGGACGGGUGAGUAAUGCCUAGGAAUCUGCCUGGUAGUGGGGGAUAACGUCCGGAAACGGGCGCUAAUACCGCAUACGUCCUGAGGGAGAAAGUGGGGGAUCUUCGGACCUCACGCUAUCAGAUGAUCCUAUGUCGGAUUAGCUAGUUGGUGGGGUAAAGGCCUACCAAGGCGACGAUCCGUAACUGGUCUGAGAGGAUGAUCAGUCACACUGGAACUGAGACACGGUCCAGACUCCUACGGGAGGCAGCAGUGGGGAAUAUUGGACAAUGGGCGAAAGCCUGAUCCAGCCAUGCCGCGUGUGUGAAGAAGGUCUUCGGAUUGUAAAGCACUUUAAGUUGGGAGGAAGGGCAGUAAGUUAAUACCUUGCUGUUUUGACGUUACCAACAGAAUAAGCACCGGCUAACUUCGUG